rnacentral:rRNA from 1 species
AUCAACUUUCGAUGGUAGGAUAGUGGCCUACCAUGGUGGUGACGGGUGACGGAGAAUUAGGGUUCGAUUCCGGAGAGGGAGCCCGAGAAACGGCUACCACAUCCAAGGAAGGCAGCAGGCGCGCAAAUUACCCAAUCCCGACACGGGGAGGUAGUGACAAUAAAUAACAAUACAGGGCUCUUUUGGGUCUUGUAAUUGGAAUGAGUACAAUUUAAAUCUCUUAACGAGGAACAAUUGGAGGGCAAGUCUGGUGCCAGCAGCCGCGGUAAUUCCAGCUCCAAUAGCGUAUAUUAAAGUUGUUGCAGUUAAAAAGCUUGUAGUUGAAUUUCGGAAUCAAUAUGUCGGUCGUGCCUUCGGUACGUACUGGUAUCAUUGGUUUCUCCUUUCUGACGAACCAUAAUGUCAUUCAUUUGGUGUUAUGGGGAGUUAGGACUGUUACUUUGAAAAAAUUAGAGUGUUUAAAGCAGGCUUUAGCUUGAAUACAUUAGCAUGGAAUAAUGAAAUAGGACGUUCGAACCUAUUUUGUUGGUUUCUAGGAUCAACGUAAUGAUUAAUAGGGAUAGUUGGGGGCAUUAGUAUUCAAUUGUCAGAGGUGAAAUUCUUGGAUUUAUUGAAGACUAACUACUGCGAAAGCAUUUGCCAAGGAUGUUUUCUAUUAAUCAAGAACGAAAGUUAGGGGAUCGAAGACGAUCAGAUACCGUCGUAGUCUUAACCAUAAACUAUGCCGACUAGGGAUCGGAUGAUGUUAAUUUUUUAAUGACUCAUUCG